AAUAAAUAAAUAAAAUAAAGGUAUUGUGUCCAACUACAACUAAAAAAGAAAAAAAGUUAAAAAAAAAGUCAAAAAAAAAAAGAGGGUAUAGCUCAGUGGUAGAGUUCAUGCUUAGCAUACACAAGACUGGGUUAAUCCUACUCUCAAAAGACACAAUAAGGAAUCAAUAUUCCAAUUUGGAGCGAGAGGGAUUUGGGAAAUAAAUCAUAAAGGUUAAAUCAUGGACCCUAGCAUCAAGCUAUCCUAAGUUCAAGUCCUGGUUAUAACAAUUACUAGCUCUGGGACCUUAAACUCUCUGCUAAUCUAAAAAAAGAUAAUUCUGAUGUUAUGGUGGUGAGGCUUUAAGAAUGUGUGCCAAGGGCCUAGGAGUAGAACUCAGUGUUAGAACGCUCACCUAGCCACGUGUAGGGCCCUGGCUUUUAUCCCCAGCAUCACACGCACAAGUGUGCAAAACACUUGCCACAUACGUCAAAGAACACAUAAUCCAACACAUGGUGAAUCUUCAAUAAAUGGUAGGUCCUAUUAGCAGCUGAUGAAUAAUAUGGCUGAUUUUUUCCCCUUUUUACCAACUUGGGAAACAAAGUUUUCUCCAAUUACCAUUCUUCCCUCAGAGGUGGUCAGGCUCCUCAUACUAGGUGUGCCAUCAUUAUGGAAAUGAGGAAGCUGGGGACAGAUGGGGUGGUUGUAUCUCUUUCAUUUAUCUUCCGUCUCUUAGCUAGCUUGCUCCUUAGCUCAGCUUCUCUGGUUCUUCCUGCUGCCUUCCUUCCCUCUGAAGAAGUCUAUCUCCUCUCUCUGGUUUGGAAGACUCAGUCAGGACUUCUGGCUUCCCUGACCCCUACUCUCCCACACAUCUUCUCUUGUUCUCUGCUCUUUAUUUUGCAGACAGCUAGGGAAAAGGCCAGCAUGUGUAAACUAAUUGCAAGAUGUUCCCCGUAGAAUUUCGAGGUGUAGGAGGUUCCCAGUACAUUUGAUUCCCUCCUGUGUUGUUCUGGAUCUGUGGGUGUAUGUGGGGAGGCUGAAGAGUAGAAAUGGCAUUCCUUCAAAGGGUUGAGUCACCUCUGCUCCUGUUCCAGGCAGGAUGGCUCUUGGCCUGUAACAAGAAGAAAAACUUAUGAGGCAGCAGGGUCUCUGCUCAGAAGGAAUCAAUCUACAUUGGGGCAAGAUAUCUCACAACAAUGACCAGCUAGACCAGAAUCAAAUUCCCCUCUUUGAAAGGGGGUGAGAGGUGGAGUCAUGGACAGAGGAAUACGGGAGUGUUUAAGAACCUUAAAUACAACUAAAAAAUGUUAAAAAAAA
rnacentral:lncRNA from 1 species